UUACUAUUUCGGUCAUCUCCGUUAGUUUUUUAAUGUGUAACAUUUCUGAUAUAAUUUCAACCAUUCGAUUGCAGGUCCGUUAUAUACAAUAGUGAACCAUCACCACAUAAUUUUUUUCCCUCUCUUCAUCUUAUUCCUUCCACCACUUCUUCAUAUUCAUACAAAAUUCAAGGAUUUUAUUUUUAUAAAAGGAACAUUUUAUUAAAUAAUUAAACCAACAUUACAAAUGGGCAUACAUUUCCAUCGUUAUUACCAUCUUCAUCCCUCUUCUUUGCCUUCAUUUUAUCACGAGGCUGCAACUUCGAAAGCCAACUCUCGCAGAAUCCAUUUCUUUGUCUCAACAAUUAACAACCUUUCCUUGUUCCUUCUAUGCAUGUUCAAACCCAAUUACAAAAAAUCAUAGGUUGCACAAAUAACUCCUAAAAAUAUGAUUUUUAAACAAAAAAAAAAUACAAAACAAAACCAGAUUAUUGUUCUUUCUUUCUGCUGAAAGAAAAUGAAAUUGAAAUUAAUGGAAAUCAUGCAUAUUCCAUUUUCACACUUUUUUUUUUUAUGAUGUUGUUGUUGUUGUUUCAAAGCACCAUGUUGUUGUUGUGUUGUUGAUGUGCUGAAUUUGGAGAAAUCUAUUUUUUUUUAAUUCAUGAUGAUGAUGAUGAAAAGAAUUAAAAAGGGUUGAAUUUGAUUUCUUGAUGUGUUGUUGCUCUAUUGAUGAUGAUUUCUGGAUUUUUGUAGAAAAAAAAAUCUGGGUUUUAAUUCUAUUUGAAUGUUUAAGUGUUUUAAUUUGAUGAAAUUUAUUAUUGUUUUAGUUUGAGUUUUCAAUAUGGUGCUACUGCUUUUUCCUGGAUAGGAUUGAUGAAGAUGAAGAAGAAGAAGAUGAGAGAUGAAGAUGAAGAAAAUGAUAAAAGNUAAAGAAAAAAUCAAAUGGUUAAAAUUAGAAAAUUUAAUAAGAUCUACGGUGAACCAUCUUUAAAUAUGGUUCACCUUAGAUUUUUUAUGUUAAAAACUAACGGAGAUGACCAAAAUGGUAAACGGCAGAAGAUUUAUGGGACUAAAUUGAGACACUUUAUAGUUAGGGG
rnacentral:lncRNA from 1 species